AAGUCGUAACAAGGUUUCCGUAGGUGAACCUGCGGAAGGAUCAUUACCAAAACAAAAAAUCCAAAAAACACACAACCAGUGAACCCAAUUUGUGCGAACUUAAACAUUCGUAUCUUUUACACACGCUUUAUUAUACAUUUUUUUUUUAUUGUCAAUUUUUUAUUACUAAAAAUAAAAAUAUACAACUUUCAGCAACGGAUCUCUAGGCUCUU
rnacentral:misc_RNA from 1 species